rnacentral:rRNA from 1 species
GGAUAACCUGCCCUUGGGUCCGGCAUAACCCCGGGAAACUGGGGGUAAUACCGGAUAACGCACAUAUGCUGGAAUGCUUUAUGCGUAAAAUGGAUUCGUCUGCCCAAGGAUGGGUCUGCGGCCUAUCAGGUAGUAGUGGGUGUAAUGUACCUACUAGCCUACAACGGGUACGGGUUGUGAGAGCAAGAGCCCGGAGAUGGAUUCUGAGACAUGAAUCCAGGCCCUACGGGGCGCAGCAGGCGCGAAAACUUUACAAUGCGGGAAACCGUGAUAAGGGGACACCGAGUGCUAGCAUCAUAUGCUGGCUGUCCAGGUGUGUAAAAUACACCUGUUAGCAAGGGCCGGGCAAGACCGGUGCCAGCCGCCGCGGUAACACCGGCGGCCCGAGUGGUGAUCGUGAUUAUUGGGUCUAAAGGGUCCGUAGCCGGUUUGGUCAGUCCUCCGGGAAAUCUGAUAGCUCAACUAUUAGGCUUUCGGGGGAUACUGCCAGACUUGGAACCGGGAGAGGUAAGAGGUACUACAGGGGUAGGAGUGAAAUCUUGUAAUCCCUGUGGGACCACCUGUGGCGAAGGCGUCUUACCAGAACGGGUUCGACGGUGAGGGACGAAAGCUGGGGGCACGAACCGGAUUAGAUACCCGGGUAGUCCCAGCCGUGAACGAUGCUCGCUAGGUGUCAGGCAUGGCGCGACCGUGUCUGGUGCCGCAGGGAAGCCGUGAAGCGAGCCACCUGGGAAGUACGGCCGCAAG